rnacentral:rRNA from 1 species
AGCAGUAGCCGCGGUAAUACGAAGGGGGCUAGCGUUGUUCGGAAUUACUGGGCGUAAAGCGCACGUAGGCGGAUAUUUAAGUCAGGGGUGAAAUCCCGCAGCUCAACUGCGGAACUGCCUUUGAUACUGGGUAUCUUGAGUAUGGAAGAGGUAAGUGGAAUUGCGAGUGUAGAGGUGAAAUUCGUAGAUAUUCGCAGGAACACCAGUGGCGAAGGCGGCUUACUGGUCCAUUACUGACGCUGAGGUGCGAAAGCGUGGGGAGCAAACAGGAUUAGAUACCCGCGUAGUCCCUGUCUCUUAUAC